UACGAAGGGGGCUAGCGUUGUUCGGAAUCACUGGGCGUAAAGGGCGCGUAGGCGGCUUUGUAAGUCGGGGGUGAAAGCCUGUGGCUCAACCACAGAAUUGCCUUCGAUACUGCAUGGCUUGAGACCGGAAGAGGUAAGUGGAACUGCGAGUGUAGAGGUGAAAUUCGUAGAUAUUCGCAAGAACACCAGUGGCGAAGGCGGCUUACUGGUCCGGUACUGACACUGAGGCGCGAAAGCGUGGGGAGCAAACAGG
rnacentral:rRNA from 1 species